AGGGUUUGAUUAUGGCUCAGGAUGAACGCUGGCGGCGUGCUUAACACAUGCAAGUCGAACGGAGAGCUAUGGAAAGAGGAUUCGUCCAAUUGAAAUAGUUUCUUAGUGGCGGACGGGUGAGUAACGCGUGAGGAACCUGCCUUGGAGUGGGGAAUAACAGUUAGAAAUGACUGCUAAUACCGCAUAAUAUGUCUGUACCGCAUGGUAGUGGACAUCAAAGAUUUAUCGCUCUGAGAUGGCCUCGCGUCUGAUUAGAUAGUUGGCGGGGUAACGGCCCACCAAGUCGACGAUCAGUAGCCGGACUGAGAGGUUGGCCGGCCACAUUGGGACUGAGAUACGGCCCAG
rnacentral:rRNA from 1 species